rnacentral:rRNA from 1 species
UACGUAGGGGGCAAGCGUUGUCCGGAUUUAUUGGGCGUAAAGAGCGUGUAGGCGGCUUUACAGGUCCGUUGUGAAAACUCGAGGCUCAACCUCGAGACGCCGGUGGAAACCGUAAAGCUAGAGUCCGGAAGAGGAGAGUGGAAUUCCUGGUGUAGCGGUGAAAUGCGCAGAUAUCAGGAAGAACACCCGUGGCGAAAGCGGCUCUCUGGGCCGGUACUGACGCUGAGACACGAAAGCGUGGGGAGCGAACCGG